rnacentral:rRNA from 1 species
UCAAGUAAGUAAGGGCGUACGGCGGAUGCCUUGGCCAUAUCAGCCGAAGAAGGACGCGAUAAGCUGCGAUAAGCUGCGGUGAGGUGCAAGUAACCUUUGACCCGCAGAUCUCCGAAUGGGGAAACCCGGCAGCAGUAGUGCUGUCAUCCUCUAUGAGGAAGGGCACCCGGUGAACUGAAACAUCUAAGUAGCCGGAGGAAAAGGAAUCAACAGAGAUACCCCUAGUAGCGGCGAGCGAACGGGGCAGAGCCCAAACCGGAAUGGGAAACCAAUCCGGGGUUGUGGACUGCUAUCAAAUGCAUGAGUGAAGCAGAAUGAGCUGGGAAGCUCAGCCAGAGAGAGUGAGAGCCUCGUAGGCGUAAGCAAGUGCAUGGAGCAGGAUCCAGAGUACCACGGGACACGAGAAACCCUGUGGGAAGCUGGGGGGACCACCCUCCAAGGCGAAACACUGAUAUGGACCGAUAGCGCAUAGUACCGUGAGGGAAAGGUGAAAAGAACCCCGGGAGGGGAAUGAAAGAGAACCUGAAACCGUAUGUCUACAAGCAGUCGAAGACCUUUAUAUGGUCGACGGCGUGCCUAUUGAAGAAUGAACCGGCGAGUUACUUCAGCUAGCGAGGUUAAGCGGAAAACGUGGAGCCGAAGCGAAAGCGAGUCUGAACAGGGCGUAUAGUUAGUUGGAGUAGACCCGAAACCACAGUGAUCUACCCAUGUCCAGGUUGAAGCACAGGUAAAAAUGUGUGGAGGACCGAACCAGUGAGCGUUGAAAAGCUUUUGGAUGAGAUGUGGGUAGGGGUGAAAUGCCAAUCGAACGUGGAGAUAGCUGGUUCUCCCCGAAAUAGCUUUAGGGCUAGCCUCAUGGCGAGAGUACAGGCGGUAGAGCACUGAACGGGGUAGGGGCCUAUCCGGCUACUGAACCUAAUCAAACUGCGAAUGGCUGUACUUAUCCAUGGGAGUCAGACUGUGAGUAAUAAGGCCCAUAGUCAAGAGGGAAACAGCCCAGACCAACAGCUAAGGUCCCCAAUGCCGUACUAAGUGGCGAAGGAUGUGGAAUUUCGAAAACAACCAGGAUGUUGGCUCAGAAGCAGCCACCAUUAAAAGAGUGCGUAAUAGCUCACUGGUCGAGAGACUCUGCGCCGAAGAUGUCCGGGGCUAAAGUACGGAACCGAAGCUUUGGCAAUUGACAUUAGUCAAUUGGGUAGGGGAGCGUUCCUGCAUGGGAGAAGCCUGACCGGAAGGACAGGUGGACAGGCAGGAAGAGAGAAUGCCGGUAUGAGUAGCGAAAAGAAGGGUGAGAAUCCCUUCCACCGAAAGCCUAAGGGUUCCUGGGCAACGAUCGUCGUCCCAGGGUAAGUCGGGACCUAAUCCGAGGCGGAGACGCGUAGGAGAUGGACAACAGGUUGAAAUUCCUGUACUGGCUGAGGCCGUUUGAGCGAAGGAGUGACACAGGAAGGAAGGCGCGCGUGCGAUUGGAAGAGCACGUCCAAGCAGGUAGGUUGGGAGACAGGCAAAUCCGUUUCCCAUGAGGCCGAGAUGCGAUGGGGAGCUUCUGGAGACAGAAGCGAAGGGGCUGGCACUAAACUGUCGAGAAAAGCUUCUAGUGAGGACUCAGGCACCCGUACCGAAACCGACACAGGUAGGCAGGAUGAGAAUUCUAAGGUGCGCGGGAAAACCCUCGUUAAGGAACUCGGCAAAAUAUAUCCGUAACUUCGGGAAAAGGAUAACCCAGCGUACGUGAAGUGCAGAAGCGCAUGGAGCGGAGAUGGGUGGCAGAAGAGAGGCCCAAGCGACUGUUUACCACAAACACAGGCGUCUGCUAAAGCGAAAGCUGAUGUAUAGAUGCUGACACCUGCCCGGUGCUGGAAGGUUAAGAGGAAGUGUUAGCGCAAGCGAAGCAGUGAAUUGAAGCCCCAGUAAACGGCGGCCGUAACUAUAACGGUCCUAAGGUAGCGAAAUUCCUUGUCGGGUAAGUUCC